UGCAUUCACUACUGUAAGUCACUCUGGAUAAGAGCGUCUGCUAAAUGCCUAAAA
rfam:Salmo salar isolate Sally breed double haploid chromosome ssa12, whole genome shotgun sequence.